GAUGAAGAACGUAGUGAAAUGCGAUACGUAAUGUGAAUUGCAGAAUUCAGUGAAUCAUCGAGUCUUUGAACGCACAUUGCGCCCCCUGGUAUUCCGGGGGGCAUGCCUGUCCGAGCGUCAUUGCUGCCCUCAAGCACGGCUUGUGUGUUGGGCCUCCGUCCUCCUCCCGGGGGACGGGCCCGAAAGGCAGCGGCGGCACCGCGUCCGGUCCUCGAGCGUAUGGGCUUCGUCACCCGCUCUUGUAGGCCCGGCCGGCGCUUGCCGACACAUCAAUCUUUUUUCCAGGUUGACCUCGGAUCAGGUAGGGAUACCCGCUGAACUUAAGCAUAUCAAUAAGCGGAGGA
rnacentral:misc_RNA from 1 species